UUUUUUUUUUUUUGCUCGUCCGGUUCGUCGAAACUUUUUAAAACUUGUAAGUUUUAAUCCAAAAAUAAUUCAUUCGAUAUUAAUUUUUUGAAUAUUUAUACCUACAGUAUUUCCAUAAUUUUUUACUUUUGUUUGUUUUUUUUUUUUUUUUAUUAUUAUGACAAUAAUGCAAAUUAAUUGAUUUAUUAAAUAUUUAUAUAUAUAUAUAUAUAUUAAAUAAUUGGUUCACAUGCAAAAAUAUAAAACCAAUAUAUAUUUUAAAAAUACAAUUAAGUUGAAAAUGUUCGAAUUUUACAAAUAUUUGUUGUACAAAAUGGUUUUUUUUUUAUCGUGAACCAGAAAUUUUCUGGAAAGAUUUCAAAUGAAUUUGAUUUAUGUUUUUUUUUUUUUUUAAAGAAAAUUCUAAAUUUAGCGAAGCAUGUAUUGUUUUUACAAAAAUAUUUAUUUUUGUUUUUAUGCAUUUUUCCUGAAAGAAAGUGUUCUCUGGGUGCUACUGUAGAGAGGUCAUUUUUUUGAAAUUCUCAUUAAUAUUCGAGAUAACGAGAAAAACCUGGUUCUUUUGAUUAAAAAAGAUUGAACGAUAAGAAAUACGGUUACCAUUGGCAACCGCUUUAAUUUAUUUUUUGUUAAUAUUAAAUUAUUAUCAUUUUAAUAUUUUUUAUACAACCAUUUUUGUCGUAGAAACGCACAUUGUGGUAAUUAUUUUACUAUAAUAUGGCAUAUAUGUUGUUGAAAAAACAACACUAUCAACUGAACACCGCUUAGAAUCGUUUUUUCGUUAGCAAUGGUUUAUCGUUGCUUACAGAUCAUAGGCUUUCACACGGAGGCAGGAUAUGCUGCCCCUAGACCUUCUUUGGGGCUACCACGGCCGGCAAAUAUUGAAUCAUGGACCUCGGCAAAAUUAUAUUUCCACAAAUAAUAAUGACCAGUAGCGAUCAGUGAGUCGGUGGUAUUUGAAUUUUAUAUAUAUAGAUAAUAAAAAAAGUUUAUAAAUAUUAAUAAGAGCU